UGUAUACCUGCAUAUAUUAAGUUCUUUUCUACUAUUUUUUUUUAAUCUGGUAACCUUCAGUCCUAAGAGGGAGAUAAUACCUAAUGAGUAUGACUUUUAAAUAGUUUACAUGUCUCAUCAGUUAUUGUUCUCAAGAGAAUUGGGUUUUCACACUUUGGGACCUCAAAACAAGGAUGUUCUGAGAUUUCUGUGUCCACACUAAUUACCUUAGUUCUCAUGAACGAGUACAUUCUGUUUCUUUAGUGAUGAGUGAGUGGUUUUAAAUGUCUAGAAUAGAGAGAGGUGACUAGUCAACCAUAUUACCUAUUAAUUUGUAAUUAAUUUCCUUGUUUUAAUCCCCAUUCUUUAGUUAGUAUGUUAAACACCAACCCUUCUGCCUAAGAUCUACAAAGCACAUCUGCUACCCUCCUUGGCUACAACUUUCUACUUACUUAUCCUAGGCUGUAGCUCUUACUUCAUUAGCAACCAUUCCUCAGUUUUCUUUACAUGUAUAUAAAGAAUGUUGAUCUCAUUUCUUUAGUCAUUGACUGAUUUUCUUCAUCACUGUGAAUGUAAACUUUUUUUGCUCCAUUAAAGUCAUCUCAUUGUCAUCUCUGGAGGUAAGAAAGUUAAAAAUACAUAUACAGUCUCUCACUCUGAUCCAGAAAUGCACAUGUUCAUUCCUCAUUUUUGAAAAGGUAACAAUAAAAUCUAUGAUGAUUUAAUUGACCUUAUUGGGUAAUUAAAGUGGUACUGUAAAUGAAACAGGCACUAAUUUUUACAAGUGAAUAGUCAUUCUUUCUCUAACAAUGCCUAACUUUGUGCUUGCUUAAAAAUUUCUGGAACCAGCCUUGAGAUAAAACCAAGGUUGGAAAACACUCCCAUGAAGAAAAUACUGAGAAGCUAAUCUGCAAUGCUAUUGCAGUCUAGCUUACACCAGCCAGACCACUAGAUGGUCCACUCAAGAUAAUCAUCAGAACAAGACAUGCUGACCUGCAUGUAGUUCCUCUAGGCCAUUCCCCUUUAAAAUCCAUUCAACCAGCCUGUGGAAAGAGAGAUGGCCUUUGUAACAUUAGUCUACUAUUUCCUCUGGUUGCCAGUUCCUCAAUAAACCUACUUUUUCUUUCUUGCACCAACUCUUGUCUCUUGAAUUUAGUUUUCAAAUGGCAAGAAGUGGAACCUAGAUUCAGUGAAAAUUCCUGGCAUCCAAUGUGGGAUGUGUGUCUAGGGAUGUCCAACCUGCCUGAUUUCCAAUGGAUGGAGCAAUAGAACAUGGAAGUGUGCCAGGACUUACCCAUUCACACUACCAGGCAGGGUAACAACCACUCUGAGUGUCAGUUGCUCACGGCUAGCUAACCCUCUAGCUAGGAUUCUAAGAACACCUAGCAGCUGACAAAAACACUUUCCUUGAGGAUUUCUCUUUGCAUGGCCUCUGCUGCCUGUGAUUCUCAGUUGAUGCAAGGAACAGCAGUAUCUGAAGAGCUGACAGCCUCCAAGACUGGAUGCUCAUUGGAUGUCUGGUCAUUUCCAAUUAAGAAAGUUUUAUGGAUCUCAUAGGCGGGUGUUGAACAAUGAGAACACAUGGACACAGUAAGUGUCAAAUAAGAAACUCAAGAGGAAAAUAUGACUGAAAGAAAUAUUCAGAGUUUUUACCUAUUGAUAUUAUAAUAAGAAUAAAGAGAAGCAACAAAUUCAUAGUUGAGACUGCUUAGAAGACUGUGACUUAUGAGGAAUCCUGAGUCUGUAAUGUGGCUGGUAAGUCAUUUCUGAUCAAAGAGUAUAAUCAGAAAAACUAAUAUGUUUAAUAAUAAGAUGAAUUUUAAUUAUUAAUGGCUGAUAACAAAGGGCACCUAGUAUAUGGCAGGCAGUUCUCUAAACAUGCUAC